UAAAAACAAAUCUAAUACCCAAUAACCACACUACCGAUAGCUGAAUUAUUUUAUGUAUCUACUUCAUUUGACCAUUUACUUGAAUCGAUUUCCUAUAUAAGUCCAACAUUUUCUCUGAAUCUUCAGACAAAUAUUCGCAGUCUUUGGUAAAACAAUAGCCGAGUUAUAAUGAAUUUCUUGAACAUUUUUGUAUUCGUUGCUGUUAUCCUGGCUGCAUUUACUGCCCAAACUGAAGGCAAGCGUAAAGGUGGCGGCGGUGGUGGUAACCGCGGACAUGCUUGGAGGGCAGGAUCCCAUGUAGCUGGAGCUGCUGUUCAAGGAGUUGCUGCUGAGGCAGUCCGUCAAGCGGGUUAAAUCUCUAUUUGUAGAGAAUAAUGUGACACAAUGCUUACAUUGGAGAGCUUCAAAUAAAUCUUUGUAAAAAAAUAA